ACAAAGAAUUUAGUUUUCUUUUUUAAGAUAAACUCACAAGCAUGGGUGCAGGAUUGACGACCUUCAAGGAGAAGACGGGCCGGGAGACAGGAGUCAGGAGACAAGCCCUCAGUCAGGCUGUCUCUCACUGGAGUUUCAUUCCCCUCUCUGGGAUUAAACAAGAAAGCAAGACACUAACUCCAAGAGAGACCAGUCCCGUGGUGGUUGAAGUCAGUCUUUGGAGUCUGAUCCUCUACAUCCGUGACAUUAACAAUGUUCUUUCCUCGGUGUCUUUGUUCAAGCGUCACCCACACAUAUAACCAGGAACAUCCACGAGAGAUGUCCUCACGUACACAGUAAGAAGAUUCCCUGGGAGGAAGAGGCAAGCUUUUCCAGCGCAGGUACCUUUAACUGUUGGCCCACAGAAUAAGAGUUUAAAAUGCGCUAGGCGAGUACCAUGUCAUGCAAUGUGGCUUUAAUAGAUGUCAGAUGACUACGGAUACUAUCAUCUGUUUCUCAUGAUGGAACAUUUCUCAAGCAGGGACAAAAAUAAAAAAGGAAAAUAGAAACCAUGACAUACCCAAGUGAAAGAGGAAGUGUUUGCCUAUUUACAUUCAUUUGGAUCACAUGCUCUUUUAGAACUCAAGCCUGAUAAAACAUUCAUAUUGGCAUUUCUGCUAAGGUGUCCACAAGUGAUAAAUCAUUUAUGGCAAAAUCAC